GGUUAACCGGGCCGCGGGGAAGGGGGAGCCGGCAUGUUCCGCCUACCCGCUCUCGUCAUCGCAGCUGCGCGUUCGGAGCGGAACUUUCGGCGCUGCGCCUCUGGCGAAGGCGCCAAGCGGCGCCCGCGGCGGCGGGGAUGGCGCGGCCGGUCAGGAGAAACAAGAAAGUUGUUGAUUAUUCUCAGUUUGGGGAUUUGGAAGAUGAUGAUGAAGACUUUGCACCUUCAAGCAAAAAAUCUAGAACACAGCUCAAGGAAUCAAAGAAGGAGAAAAAAACAAAGUCAAAAAAGCCCAAAGAAGUGACUCCAUCACAGACACAGACACUUAGUAAGAGGUUAUCCUUGGACGAGAAACUUUAUAAAAGAGAUUUGGAAGUUGCCUUAGCCUUAUCUGUCAAAGAAAAAUCUGCAGAUCCUCAAGAAGUGCAAAAUUCAGAAAAACAAGGUAAGAAUAUUGAAUUAGAAAAUACACAGAGGAGACCCCCUUUUUCCAACUGCAGUGUAGACAGUGAACUUUUAGGUCUCAAUCAGGUUAUGGAUGAUGAGGCACCUGAGGGUGAUGGGAAGCAAAGGACAGCAGCAACCAAAGGUCCAGCACAUCACAAGUCACUGGUGGUUGACAGUGAUGACAGAGCCCAUGAUCCUGAUUCUGAGCGAGGGUCUGUACCCAUUUCACCUAUAGUUUCUCCUUCCCGGAUAAUGGAACACAACUCUGAGCCAAGGCAGAAGGUGAUGUCCAGUCCCUUGGAAGCAGCUGGGAGGCCUCUACAUGCAUCAAGUCCUGUCACAGACAAAAAGCCUAAAUGGACACCACCAGCUCCGUCAGGAAGCAGUAAUGCUUCUGUGAAAUGUGUUCCUGUUAAGUCACCUACUCACUGCCUAAGACUUGGCCUCUCCAGACUGGCAAGAGUCAAACCUCUCCAUCCCAGUGCUACCACAAGUUAAAUGGUCACUUUAAAUGUUGGUUGCAGUCUGGCAGGUAUUUUUGCCUGUGUAUGCUCUUACUGGAAGUCAGCAGCAUUAGUCAGGCUCAGACAAUGAGGAAUUGCCUUGGAGCUCUGGGGGCUUCAUUGAGGAUCAUGAUACCAUGCUAAGGUGUGACAUUGUUCUCUUGAGAAGAAGCCAAAAAGCUGUGAUGAAAAAAACCCCUUUUUUGGGUCGAGGCUGUUUCUGCUGUGCUGAAUCUGUCUUCACACCCCCAAUAUUUAUAACACUUGUGUACAUUUAAAUGAAGACUUGGACCAUGAGUUUUUCCUGUAUAUUUGGGAUACUAAAAAGCUGAAAUUUCUUUUUAUUGCAUUUUGUAUUUCCCCCAUUAUUUGUUUUUUUUUUUUUUAAUUGUUAUUGAAUGUAACUCAAAAUUUAAAGGUUAGUUUUUUCUAGCCUCAGCUGAAUAAGAGCAUGGAAAGACUUAACUGGCCUCGACUGUAAAAGAAUCUACAUGGUCCUUAGUGUAUUAAAGCUCUGUUUAAUGCUCAGACAUCUCAAUUCCUUCACCAAAUUCUUUUUCAUACUGACAGCCCUUGGGAACAUUUACAAUACUCCAAUGUACAAAGAAAUCAUGAGAAAUAGAACUGAUUGAAACCCAGAUGAUAUUUAUCUGCUUGAUGACAGACCAUCUUGUAGAGCAGAUUCUCUUUCUGUUUGCCUUCUUGAACAGGAUUCAUUAAGCUGAAGAUUCCAAAGAGUUAUAAUCAGGACGUUCUUUCAGAAAUACAUUGUCAACCCCAUCCCAGCAUAAAGGUUAGUAGAUAGGUGUAUAUUUUUUAGGAUGUUAAGUCUGUAGCUAUGUAGGAAGUGAACAUUAGAGGGCAUAAUAACAUCAAAUUGUCAUUCCAGUGCAGUGGAGCUAUGUGGCUAUCAUGUGUAUUUGCAGAGUGUUUGCAUGUCAAAGGGUCAGAUGACAAGCGUGAGCAUAGUAUCAAGAACAGAAAAACAAAAAGGAAUUUAAUAAGCCUUAACUAACUUUUGUCAAGUAUUAUCAAGAACACAGCCUCACUCUAAUACAUUUUCACAGAUCAGUGACUUAUAAUGUUAGUAGGUAUUUCUUGCAUUAUUUAAUUCAGUUAUAAGCUUUAACAUACAGAAGUUAGAAGUUCUUCUCCAGAUAUUUGCUAUAAUUUUUCUUGAGCAUAAGUUAGCCCCUUCCUGGGUAAAAGUCAAGUUGAUACACUUUGUGAGUGGGGUUCACAGCUGCUUCUGAGUCUCUGUCAUGAUUUCAUAAGGAACAGUAAGUCAAAAAUGUAAGAAUGGGCAAAUCUUACUCAGCCCUGCAAGGCACAUCUGCAGUGCUGUGUCCAGUCCUGAGCUCCCCAGCACAGGAGGGACAUGGAGCUCCUGGAGCAGGGCCAGUGGAGGAUGCAGAGAUGAUUUAGGGCCUGGAGCAUCUCUGGCAGGGAAAGGCUGAGGGAGCUGGGGCUGUCCAGCCUCCAGAGGAGCCCCAGCUGAGAGGGGCUCUCAGCCCUGGGUGUCCCUGUCUGCAGGGAGGGCUCUGAGCAGGGUCCAGGCUCUGCUCCAGGGGCCCAGCAGUGGCACCAGAGGAACAGGCAGGGACUGAUCCCAGCAGGCUCCACCUGGGCAGGAGGCAGAACUUCUGUCCUGGGCAGUGACCGAGCACUGAACAGAUUGUCCAGAGAGGGUGUGGAGUCUCCUCACUGAGGAUAUUCCAGAACCAUCUGGAGGCAAUCCUGUGCCCUGUGCUCUGGGACGGUCCUGCAGAACAGGGAGGUGGGACAAGAUGAUGUACUGGUCCCUUCCAGCCUUAUGCUUUAUUUCUGUGAUUCCUUGGUCUUCCUCAAGAUAUCUAAGUCAGGAAAAAAGAUGCAUUCAGGACAACAAAGUUAGGAGAGCUGCAUAGAUGCCAGAAGAUAGAGGCAUAAAUGGAACUCCCCAGGAACUUCGAAUGCUAUGGUGCUUCCCUGAAUUGAAAAUACACAGCAAUUAGCCAGUUUUCAGGAAGAAUUUCUUCACGGAAAGGGUGAUUGUGUCGGAACCCAGGACAUCCCUCUGGGUGCCCUGGAUGGCUUGUGCCCCUGGUAGGGGCUUGGAGAUCCUGGCAGAGGCUCAGAGACCCUGGCAGGAAGCCAAAGACACUUGGGAUUUUGAUCUUAACCCAUGGAGCAAAUUACCAACUUUGUAUGAAGAAUUAGAAGUCACAAGAGUUUAAGUGGCAUAAUAGUAGUUGUCACAGGGUGGAAAGUAGAAUUUUGGAAGUUUUCGAACAGGGGUUUGGAGUCCCAAGAUGGAGGAAUUUGGGUGUUCCCUGUCCUUCUUCCUUCUUCUUUCUAGCCUCCAUCUUCUUGGUCAUGGUGGCACAUUUAGAUUGGUCUAGAGUAGAAGUAGACAGUCUAACAUAGGUGAUAGGUAUUGGGAAAUAGCUGUAAAUAAAGUCCACAUAGUUUUCAGUAUAAAGAGAUAGCACCGCUUCAGGGCAGUGCAGUGUGCCCUUGACAGACCUGCAGAUCAGACCUCUGCAGGUGUGAGAGAAAAUAUUUUAGAUAACAGAUAAUAAACAACCUUGUGAAUCAGA